UACGUAGGGGGCAAGCGUUGUCCGGAAUCAUUGGGCGUAAAGAGCGUGUAGGCGGCCCGGUAAGUCCGCUGUGAAAGUCCAGGGCUCAACCCUGGGAUGCCGGUGGAUACUGUCGGGCUCGAGUCCGGAAGAGGAGUGUGGAAUUCCACGUGUAGCGGUGAAAUGCGUAGAGAUGUGGAGGAACACCAGUGGCGAAGGCGACUCUUUGGCCUGUAACUGACGCUGAGGCGCGAAAGCGUGGGGAGCAAACAGG
rnacentral:rRNA from 1 species